rnacentral:rRNA from 1 species
UACGGAGGGUGCAAGCGUUGUCCGGAAUCAUUGGGCGUAAAGAGUUCGUAGGCGGCAUAUCAAGUCUGGUGUUAAAUCCUGAGGCUCAACCUCAGUUCGGCACUGGCUACUGAUAAGCUAGAAUGUGGUAGAGGUAAAGGGAAUUCCUGGUGUAGCGGUGAAAUGCGUAGAUAUCAGGAGGAACACCGGUGGCGUAAGCGCUUUACUGGGCCAUAAUUGACGCUGAGGAACGAAAGCCGGGGGAGCAAAUGGG